CCGGCGGGGGUGCGUUGAGAAGCGAGCGGGGUCUGACGUGCGGUGCGGGCUGGCCGCGGGCGGGAGCGGGAGCGCGGCGAAGAGCCAGGCGGGGAGAGGGACCGCCAGACCCUCGGCCGGUCUGGCAUCAUUUGACGAACAGUAGCGUUGCCGUUUUGAGCCUUGUCCACUCUGGAGGCCUGGGAGCGGAUCCUGGUUUCUGAACACGAGCAUCCGUCCUGUCUGCACCUUCUCUGCGUGACGGGACGUGCACCGCCUUCCCCGACAGCCUGGCUUACCGGGGAGAAAAAGGUGGGCUCACGCAGGGGGACUGCCAGGGGCUUCGGUCCUCUGGCGUCAAUGACGGAAGAACCAAGGGGGAAGGUGGGGUGCA